rnacentral:rRNA from 1 species
UACGUAGGGGGCAAGCGUUGUCCGGAAUCAUUGGGCGUAAAGAGCGUGUAGGCGGUCGGUAAGUCGGCUGUGAAAGUCCAGGGCUCAACCCUGGGAUGCCGGUCGAUACUGCCGGACUAGAGUUCGGAAGAGGCGAGUGGAAUUCCCGGUGUAGCGGUGAAAUGCGCAGAUAUCGGGAGGAACACCAAUGGCGAAGGCAGCUCGCUGGGACGUUACUGACGCUGAGACGCGAAAGCGUGGGGAGCAAACAGG